rnacentral:rRNA from 1 species
GCAAGUCGAACGGUAAUCCGGUGCUUGCACCGGGUGAGAGUGGCGAACGGGUGAGUAACACGUAGGUGAUCUACCUUAUAGUUGGGGAUAGCUCAUGGAAACAUGGGGUAAUACCGAAUAAUCUUCAAGAUUUUGUUUUUGAAGGAAAGGGGCGUUUGCCUCGCUGUAAGAUGAGCCUGCGGUAGAUUAGCUAGUUGGUAGGGUAAAGGCCUACCAAGGCGACGAUCUAUAGCCGGCCUGAGAGGGUGACC